rnacentral:rRNA from 1 species
AUUGAACGCUGGCGGCAGGCCUAACACAUGCAAGUCGAGCGAGAGGCGGACGGGUGAGUAAUGUCUGGGCAACUGCCUGAUGGAGGGGGAUAACUACUGGAAACGGUAGCCAAUACCGCAUACCAUCAGAUGUGCCCAGAUGGGAUUAGCUAGUAGGUGGGGUAAAGGCACACCUAGGCGACGAUCCCUAGCUGGUCUGAGAGGAGGACCAGCCAAACUGGAACUGAGACACGGUCCAGACUCCUACGGGAGGCAGCAGUGGGGAAUAUUGGACAAUGGGCGAAAGCCUGAUGCAGCCAUGCCGCGUGUGUGAAGAAGGCCUUCGGGUUGUAAAGCACUUUCAGCGAGGAGGCGUUACUCGCAGAAGAAGCACCAGCUAACUCCGUGCCAGCAGCCGCGGUAAUUC